CUGCGGUCGAUACGGGCAGGCUAGAGUUCGGUAGGGGAGACUGGAAUUCCUGGUGUAGCGGUGAAAUGCGCAGAUAUCAGGAGGAACACCGGUGGCGAAGGCGGGUCUCUGGGCCGAUACUGACGCUGAGGAGCGAAAGCGUGGGGAGCGAACAGGAUUAGAUACCCUGGUAGUCCACGCUGUAAACGUUGGGCGCUAGGUGUGGGGGGCCUCUCCGGUUCCCUGUGCCGCAGCUAACGCAUUAAGCGCCCCGCCUGGGGAGUACGGCCGCAAGGCUAAAACUCAAAGGAAUUGACGGGGGCCCGCACAAGCGGCGGAGCAUGCGGAUUAAUUCGAUGCAACGCGAAGAACCUUACCUGGGUUUGACAUGGCCGCAAAACUGUCAGAGAUGGCAG
rnacentral:rRNA from 1 species